rnacentral:rRNA from 1 species
AGCGAACGCUGGCGGCAGGCUUAACACAUGCAAGUCGAGCGGGCAUCUUCGGAUGUCAGCUGCAGACGGGUGCGUAACACGGGGGAACGUACCCUUCGGUGCGGAACAACGCUGGGAAACGUGAGCUAAUACCGGAUACGCCCGCAUGCGUAAAGGGUUACUGCCGGAGGAUCGGCCCGCCUCUGAGUUGAUAGUUGGUGGGGUAACGGCCUACCAAGGCGACGAUCUGUAGCUGGUCUGAGAGGAUGAUCAGCCACACUGGGACUGAGACACGGCCCGGAAUCCUACGCGAGGCAGCAGUGGGGAAUCCUGGACAAUGGGCGCAAGGCUGAUCCAGCCAUGACGGGUGAGUGCUGAAGGCCUUAGGGUUGUAAAGCUAUUUUGUCCGGGACGAUAAUGACGGUACCGGAAGAAUAAGCCCCGGCUAACUUCGUG